UUCACGACAACCGGAAACCGACACUUCCUGCUUUGCGAGUUUUUGCACUAAGGAGAAAUGUCUCUCUUUUCAACAUCUUUGCUUAAUUUGCCAAUCUUUUCUUUCGCUGCUGAGGAGGAAAUCGCAGCGGCGAAUUCUCGAACUAAUAAACGUGAAAGGAUAAAAGUUCUUCCAUGAAGAAAAUCUCCACAGCUGUCAAGACUGCCCACUACUCCCAACUCCAGCUGCCAACUGGUCCUCCUGUACUGGCCCGCACAAGAGAUUUACAAAGAAGGCACAGACAAAGAACACAGGGAAUCCAUCCUGAACCUGCCAGCGAGGUGGUGGUGGUGUGAAAGCUCAAAACUGGUGAAAAG